GACUUUUAAUCAAUUGGUUGAAGGUUCGAGUCCUUCUGUGCU
rnacentral:tRNA from 1 species